rnacentral:rRNA from 1 species
UACAGAGGUCCCAAGCGUUGUUCGGAUUCACUGGGCGUAAAGGGUGCGUAGGCGGUCGGGUAAGUCUGAUGUGAAAUCUCCAAGCUCAACUUGGAAAUGGCAUCGGAUACUAUUCGGCUCGAGGAAUGGAGGGGAGACUGGAAUACUUGGUGUAGCAGUGAAAUGCGUAGAUAUCAAGUGGAACACCAGUGGCGAAGGCGAGUCCCUGGACAUUUCCUGACACUGAGGCACGAAAGCUAGGGGAGCAAACAGG